rnacentral:rRNA from 1 species
GAGGAGUGCGGCUGCUUAACAUGCAGUCGAACGGCAGCGGGUCCUUCGGGACGCCGGCGAGUGGCGAACGGGUGAGUAAUGCAUCGGAACGUACCCAGUAGUGGGGGAUAACUUACCGAAAGGUAAGCUAAUACCGCAUACGCACUGAGGUGGAAAGCAGGGGACCGCAAGGCCUUGCGCUAUUGGAGCGGCCGAUGUCGGAUUAGCUAGUUGGUGGGGUAAAGGCCUACCAAGGCGACGAUCUGUAGCGGGUCUGAGAGGAUGAUCCGCCACACUGGAACUGAGACACGGUCCAGACUCCUACGGGAGGCAGCAGUGGGGAAUUUUGGACAAUGGGCGCAAGCCUGAUCCAGCCAUGCCGCGUGAGUGAAGAAGGCCUUCGGGUUGUAAAGCUCUUUCGGCCGGGAAGAAAUCGUGGUGGCGAAUACCUGCCAUGGAUGACGGUACCGGACUAAGAAGCACCGGCUAACUACGUGCCAGCAGCCGCGGUAAUACGUAGGGUGCGAGCGUUAAUCGGAAUUACUGGGCGUAAAGCGUGCGCAGGCGGUUGUGUAAGACAGGCGUGAAAUCCCCGGGCUCAACCUGGGAACUGCGCUUGUGACUGCACGGCUAGAGUACGGCAGAGGGGGGUGGAAUUCCACGUGUAGCAGUGAAAUGCGUAGAGAUGUGGAGGAACACCGAUGGCGAAGGCAGCCCCCUGGGUCGAUACUGACGCUCAUGCACGAAAGCGUGGGGAGCAAACAGGAUUAGAUACCCUGGUAGUCCACGCCCUAAACGAUGUCGACUAGUUGUUGGAGGGGUAAAACCCUUUAGUAACGUAGCUAACGCGUGAAGUCGACCGCCUGGGGAGUACGGCCGCAAGGUUAAAACUCAAAGGAAUUGACGGGACCCGCACAGCGGUGGAUGAUGUGGAUUAUUCGAUGCACGCGAAAACCUUACCUACCCUUGACAUGCAGACUGCAGAGAUGCUGUGCCGCAAGGACUGACACAGUGCUGCAUGCUGUCGUCAGCUCGU